UGUCAUGGCGGCUGUGCGUGGGGCGCUUCGUGCGCGCCGGGUUCUCUCGCUCUCGGUCUGUCAACCUACGUACAGCUGCCACCCUU
rnacentral:antisense_RNA from 1 species